UCCAUCGUGAGGUGCGAACUGAAGGAAGUGUGUAGUGAAAUCUUGGCUCGAUGAACAAAAACUAGAUAUCAAGGCAUGAUAAACGGAUAAGAUUACUAAACAAAUUGAAGUCCAAAAGAUGAGCGUAACUUUAUCAUGUAAAUCUAGCGAGUAUGAGAGGAAAGUUAUAUGU
rfam:Haloplasma contractile SSD-17B Contig5, whole genome shotgun sequence.